rnacentral:rRNA from 1 species
GGGAGGUAGUGACAAUAAAUAACAAUAUAGGGCUCUUUUGGGUCUUAUAAUUGGAAUGAGUACAAUUUAAAUCCCUUAACGAGGAACAAUUGGAGGGCAAGUCUGGUGCCAGCAGCCGCGGUAAUUCCAGCUCCAAUAGCGUAUAUUAAAGUUGUUGCAGUUAAAAAGCUCGUAGUUGAAUUUCGGGAUUAGUAGGUUGGUCGUGCCUCUGGUAUGUACUGGCUUUACUGGUUCCUCCUUCUUGAAGAACUGUAAUGUCAUUAAUUUGGUGUUGCAGGGAAACAGGACUGUUACUUUGAAAAAAUUAGAGUGUUUAAAGCAGGCUAACGCUUGAAUACAUUAGCAUGGAAUAAUGAAAUAGGACGUUUGAUCCUAUUUUGUUGGUUUCUAGGAUUGACGUAAUGAUUAAUAGGGAUAGUUGGG